GAGCACGUAGGUGGGUUUGUAAGUCAGACGUGAAAGCCUUCUGUUCAACGGAAGAAUUGCAUCUGAAACUACAAACCUUGAGUGUAGGAGGGGAGAAUGGAACUUCUGGUGGAGCGGUGAAAUGCGUAGAUAUCAGAAGGAACGCCGGCGGCGAAAGCGAUUCUCUGGCCUAUUACUGACACUCAGUGUGCGAAAGCUAGGGGAGCAAACGGGAUUAGAUACCCCGGUAGUCCUAGCCGUAAACGAUGGGCACUAAGUAGAGGGAAUUACCGAUGUUCUCUCUGCCGUAGCUAACGCAUUAAGUGCCCCGCCUGGGGAGUACGGCCGCAAGGCUAAAACUCAAAAGAAUUGACGGGGGCUCGCACAAGCGGUGGAGCAUGUGGCUUAAUUCGAUGCAACGCGAAAAACCUUACCGGGGCUUGACAUGGUAGAAGUAGGAACCCGAAAGGGUAACGAACGGUAUCCAGUCCGUGACUAUCACAGGUGUUGCAUGGCUGUCGUCAGCUCGUGUCGUGAGACGUUGGGUUAAGUCCCCUAACGAGCGAAACCCUUGUUUUUAGUUGCCAGCGGGUUGUGCCGGGCACUCUAGAAAGACUGCCGUCGUCAAGACGGAGGAAGGUGGGGAUGACGUCAAAUCAUCAUGGCCCUUAUGCCCCGGGCUGCACACGUGCUACAAUGGCCGGUACAAACGGAAGCGAAGCCGAGAGGUGAAGCGAAUCC
rnacentral:rRNA from 1 species